GACGAACGCUGGCGGCGUGCCUAACGCAUGCAAGUCGAACGGAGAUACGAUUUCGGUUGUAUCUUAGUGGCGAACGGGUGAGUAACGCGUGAGCAACCUGACCUUCAGAGGGGGAUAACACUUGGAAACAGGUGCUAAUACCGCAUAAGACCACGACCCGACAUCGGGAUGAGGUCAAAGGAGCAAUCCGCUGAGGGAGGGGCUCGCGUCCCAUUAGAUAGAUGGCGGGGUAACGGCCCACCAUGUCGACGAUGGGUAGCCGAGCUGAGAGGCUGAUCGGCCACACUGGAACUGAGACACGGUCCAGACUCCUACGGGAGGCAGCAGUGGGGAAUAUUGGGCAAUGGGCGCAAGCCUGACCCAGCAACGCCGCGUGAGGGAAGAAGGCCUUCGGGUUGUAAACCUACUGUCCUUGGUGACGAAACAAAUGACGGUAGCCAAGGAGGAAGCCCCGGCUAACACGUAG
rnacentral:rRNA from 1 species